UACGUAGGUGGCAAGCGUUGUCCGGAUUUACUGGGCGUAAAGAGCGCGCAGGCGGUCGCUCAAGUCGCGUGUGAAAGCCCCCCGGCUCAACUGGGGAGGGUCACGCGAUACUGAUCGACUGGAAGGCAGGAGAGGGUAGUGGAAUUCCCGGUGUAGUGGUGAAAUGCGCAGAUAUCAGGAGGAACACCGGUGGCGAAGGCGGGUCUCUGGGCAAUAACUGACGCUGAGGAGCGAAAGCGUGGGGAGCGAACAGG
rnacentral:rRNA from 1 species